CCGAGGCCCAAAAUAAUUUAAAAGUGAUUUCAAUCUUUACUUGAGUCUCUCAAAGCACUUUAAAGGGGAACUUGUUCUUAUCCACCAACAACAUAUCAUAAAAUCUUUCUUCUUUCCCUUUUUAAUUCUUUCACUCACUACCUCCCAACAUAUCCACAGACAACUGGAUUUACCCCCUUGUGCCCCUCUCCCCCCAGGUCUUUAUCCUGUAGAUACUGGCCAAGCUUCUCUGGUUAGAGUUUUUUUCACAGCUCUCUGGACUCCUUUCCCACUACCCAUUCCCUGAUUCUGUAUUAUAAAAGAUUUAUGAACUAGGCUGACAAAGACAAUUCUUCUGCUUGCGGGUGGGUUGGGGAAUUCUCACAUGUUAAUAAAUCUUCUCUGUCAUCUAGGAAAUAAAGAGUGAUUAAUGUUGUGUGGUAGAAGAGAAGAGAAGUCUGGAAUGUGGCCUUACCUCAGGAAUAUACUCAGGUAUGUUGGCGCAAAGGUCAGAGCUUUGUUCUUUUGUUCCUGCCUUUACCCAGGCUUCUCUUGCCCCAGGAUAAGGGACUUUUUGGCCUCUGUAACCUGGGAGUAGAGUCUCAAUGCCCUUGUGAUGGAAGGGGCUGAAGGUAUUAGUGCAGGGUUGGGGGUAAUGACUGGGGGGAGCAAAUGAUCCCUCCUACUUUAGGUUUCCUGUAGACUGUAUGGGAAUGGCCACCCAAGCUUGUCCUCUAAGGAGAAAGGACACAGUCUCAGAUUCAUUAUACCCAAUUUGCUAAUGGAAAACGGAAGCAUCCACACACUAGUUAGUUAUUUUCUUCCUCUGAGAAAUCCAGUGAAUAGUAUGUCAAUUUAUCACAAGCCUAUAUGCUUAUGUAUUUAUUACAUCAGUUUUAGGGAAACUGAUCCAGUGUCUGAUCUAAGGAUCACAUUUGAAGAGAAGCAGAAUGAGAGCUGGGCAAAGUUGGAAAAUGGAGCCACAGAAAUAUUGACCCAGUACCACCAGGCUGAGUGCUUCUUUCUAGUAUGUUCUUUAUACACCAGACCUCUGCCGAAUAAUGGAGUUCCAGAGCUGGAAGAGAUCCUCAGAUGUCAUGAAGUCAUCCACUGCCUCCCAGCAAGUUUCAUUUGGAUGGUCUGUUCAGAUUGUCUGUUCCCAGUUGUGGGCUGGGCAAGGAGCAUCCACAGGUAA
rnacentral:lncRNA from 1 species